rnacentral:rRNA from 1 species
GACGAACGCUGGCGGCGUGCCUAAUACAUGCAAGUAGAACGCUGAAGGAGGAGCUUGCUUCUCUGGAUGAGUUGCGAACGGGUGAGUAACGCGUAGGUAACCUGCCUGGUAGCGGGGGAUAACUAUUGGAAACGAUAGCUAAUACCGCAUAAGAACAGUUGUUGCAUGACAGCUGUUUAAAAGGUGCAAUUGCAUCACUACCAGAUGGACCUGCGUUGUAUUAGCUAGUUGGUGGGGUAACGGCUCACCAAGGCAACGAUACAUAGCCGACCUGAGAGGGUGAUCGGCCACACUGGGACUGAGACACGGCCCAGACUCCUACGGGAGGCAGCAGUAGGGAAUCUUCGGCAAUGGACGGAAGUCUGACCGAGCAACGCCGCGUGAGUGAAGAAGGUUUUCGGAUCGUAAAGCUCUGUUGUAAGAGAAGAACGAGUGUGAGAGUGGAAAGUUCACACUGUGACGGUAUCUUACCAGAAAGGGACGGCUAACUACGUGCCAGCAGCCGCGGUAAUACGUAGGUCCCGAGCGUUGUCCGGAUUUAUUGGGCGUAAAGCGAGCGCAGGCGGUUAGAUAAGUCUGAAGUUAAAGGCUGUGGCUUAACCAUAGUACGCUUUGGAAACUGUUUAACUUGAGUGCAAGAGGGGAGAGUGGAAUUCCAUGUGUAGCGGUGAAAUGCGUAGAUAUAUGGAGGAACACCGGUGGCGAAAGCGGCUCUCUGGCUUGUAACUGACGCUGAGGCUCGAAAGCGUGGGGAGCAAACAGG